CCUCCCUUCACAGGCCGGAGGAAACAUGUUCCCCCGUGCUCAGGAAACCCCUCCGUCUGAGCCAGGCCCUCAACACCUCAUUCUCCCCAUUCAACCCACAGGAAAACGGAGGCAUGGGGGCUUUGGACUGAACUGGUCCCAUCUGCAAAGGUGGACUGAAGAGAGGACAAGGGACCCCCUGGCUGUCUGGGCAGGGCCUCGAGAGGGUGGUCCACCCUGCCUGAAGACCUGGCUGAAGGGUCACCUGCUUACCAGGCUGUCCAAGAUUCUCCAAGCUUCCUGCCGGCCCCUCUGCUCUCCAUUCCUGCUCUCUCACUAGCCACUGGACCUUCUGUGAUCUCCUGAUCUCCUGAUUUUCUGCUGGAAUCACAGGAUCUGACCCUUUCGCUCUCUCUGCCUCACCCCUGCACUGCACUGACCCAGCCUGGCCCACCUCUGCCCGCUGCUCCACAGACCGAGGUCUCCCAUGGGGAGCUGAGGUCACCCUUUGCUGCCUCACGCUGCCUCUGGGAUCAGAGGCUAUUGGAUGUGAUUUCCAUGGUCAUCUCCUCUCCUCUCCUGCCUCCUCCACCAGCAUCAAGCUUCCUACAGCUCCUGGAAUGGUUUCCUCCACCUGCAAGGAAAGUGAGUGACCUCUACACCACCCUCACCUCUUGCCAAGCUAAUUCUUUUCUUCUCUGAGACAUCUGCAGAUGUCACCUCCUCUGGGAAGUCCUCCCUGAUUACCUCUCUCUCCUCCUACCCUUGUUUAGCAAUACCAUAGCUCUUUCUCAAUGAAGCAAUUAGUCCUUGAGGCAACUGACAACUCCACAUCCCCAGUUCCCUGAGAACAGAGCCUAUGCUUUAUCUACUUUGCUUCUCCAGUUUCAAGCCAGGCCGUGGCAGGUGGGCAGUCAGCCAGUGCCUGCUGAGCUCAGCCCAAUUCUGGUCGCUUCUCCUCUCUCUAUCCUUUUCCCAGGGCAGACCCUCCCCUCCCCAGGAACCUUCAGGGGAGGGUAGAUGAUUGAUGACUGAGAGAGAAGUAGUUGGGGGGAUCCAGCUGUGUAGAGAGGACUAGGGGCUCUCUUUCUUUUCUUUUCUUUCUUUCUUUUUUUUUUUUUUUUUGAGACGGAGUCUCGCUCU